AUAGGAAGAAUCUGCUUGGAUAAAAAUCAUUCUCAACCUUUAUGUUAAAUUCCUGCCAGAUUUUAAUAUUUUUGACAAGGUCGGUGAACUAGAAAAUGUUUCAUCAAACUCUUGGAUUGCUUUUCUUGCUCACAUUUUUUUCCUACGGAUAUUGUAUGGCAGGUAAUCAGAUUAAUCCAGAUUGCAGCACAGUGAAGCAGAACUGUACACCUUGUUACCAAAACAUGUUUAAUGAAACUGCAUACGCCUGUAAUAAUGGUUCAGACAGAUACGGCAUAUUUGGACUUGAAGAUGGAGCGAUCUGCUGUAUUUCAUUUAACAGAAUGGACAACGAAGCUAAAUAUGCAGUCAGGACAUUACUAAAUAAAUGUGACGGGUUCCUAAUUCAAGACUGCAGUUCCUAUUCAAAAAGUUUGUCGCUGGCAAAGCACCUUUCAAAGGUCCAUGAUCACGACUCGCCCUGGUAUUACGUUGCUGUGGCCGUGGCAUCUGCGAUGCACACCCUUCUGAUUGUCGCUUGCGUGUUUUGCUGCGUCCAAAAAUACUCAAGAAGGAGCUUUGUGAAGCACGAACCGCUGAAAGUCGAAGCCCCAGCUACUUCCGACCCGCCAAUCCAAAUAGAAAUGAUUGAGAAUGACUUUUAUCAUGUUUAUGAAUCUGUAGACGCUAAUUACAAAUAAAACUAAAAAUCUUUAUAUAUUUUUAAGUUGAAAAACGGUUUGAAAUCUGGAGAGAUUGUGUUCAUUUUAAUUUUAAUUCAGUAUAUAUAAAGAACUGCUUCUCAUGUGCUGAAAACUCUAACGCAGACGGAUAUAUUUAACCGCACUUCGAGAGAUAAGCCAACUGUUGUCUCUUCAUUUAAUAACAAAAAAUCGUUAAGUGCACGGCUCUAGAAUGAAGGGUAAAAAUUUCCUAGCAAUCUUCUUUCUUUUAGGCCUUUUGAAUGGGUGCUUGUCGUGGUCAAUAAGCGAAUUUUGCAAGGAUGAUAUGCUGAUUAAAAAAUGCAACCCUUGUCUCAAGUCGGAUUAUUCCUGCGAGGCAUCGCCAACUAUCGAUUCGCCUAUUUGCAGCAGCGACCAGUAUUUCAAACUUUCUCUAUCAG